rnacentral:misc_RNA from 1 species
GAUUAAGAACGUAGCGAAAUGCGAUAAGUAAUGCGAAUUGCAGAAUCCGUGAAUCAUCGAAUCUUUGAACGCACAUUGCGCCCCCUGGUAUUCCGGGGGGCAUGCCUGUUCGAGCGUCAUUUCACCACUCAAGCCUCGCUUGGUAUUGGGCAACGCGGUCCGCCGCGUGCCUCAAAUCGACCGGCUGGGUCUUCUGUCCCCUAAGCGUUGUGGAAACUAUUCGCUAAAGGGUGUUCGGGAGGCUACGCCGUAAAACAACCCCAUUUCUAAGGUUGACCUCGGAUCAGGUAGGGAUACCCGCUGAACUUAAGCAUAUCAAUAAGCGGAGGA